rnacentral:rRNA from 1 species
UAACAAGGUCUCCGUUGGUGAACCAGCGGAGGGAUCAUUGCUGGAACGCGCCCUAGGCGCACCCAGAAACCCUUUGUGAACUUAUACCUUACUGUUGCCUCGGCGCAUGCUGGCCCCCUCGGGGCCCCCUGGAGACAGGGAGCAGGCACGCCGGCGGCCAAGUUAACUCUUGUUUUUACACUGAAACUCUGAGAAAAAACACAAAUGAAUCAAAACUUUCAACAACGGAUCUCUUGGUUCUGGCAUCGAUGAAGAACGCAGCGAAAUGCGAUAAGUAAUGUGAAUUGCAGAAUUCAGUGAAUCAUCGAAUCUUUGAACGCACAUUGCGCCCUCUGGUAUUCCGGAGGGCAUGCCUGUUCGAGCGUCAUUUCAACCCUCAAGCAUUGCUUGGUGUUGGGGCACUGCUUUUAACGAAGCAGGCCCUGAAAUCUAGUGGCGAGCUCGCCAGGACCCCGAGCGCAGUAGUUAAACCCUCGCUUUGGAAGGCCCUGGCGGUGCCCUGCCGUUAAACCCCCAACUUCUGAAAAUUUGACCUCGGAUCA